rnacentral:lncRNA from 11 species
UAGCUGGCCCUGAUUGAUUAAUGUCUGGAAUUCUUCUGUUUUCUGAAUAUUGUUUUUUAUCUACUGUCCUGAUUUUGGAGGUUUUUUUUAAAAAAAAACACUGGUAGCCAGAUUUUGUUUAUUUUCAUGGUUUCCUCCUUUCUUUUGAAAUUGUCCACAUGCUUGUGGAUUUCAGUGGCUUCUCAAUCAAUCAAGACACACACACACACAUUUCCUGCUGAGCGUGCACCGGCCGGGAGGGGGCGCUGCGGCGCGAGGGGCGCUGUGCGUGCUGGGCGGGGCCUCCUCCUCCUCCUCCAGUGGAUUCCUGGCGGCUGACAGGCGCUGCGUCCGGCGCCUCACGCGCUCUCUUGCUCGAGGCUUCGAAGCAGGAAUGGGCGGAGCCUAUUGUGAGAUGCGGGCCACUUGAAGCAGCGCAGCCGAGGCGAGCGGAGCUGAAAGGAAUGGCUGCGGCGGCGGGAGGCAGCGAGGAGCCUUUGCCGGGCCCCUCGGGGGUCCGCAGAGGGCGAGGAGGACGAGGUGACGGCGAGGAGGAGGAGGACGAGGCUGAGGAAGCGGCCUUGGCUCCGCUGCGGGAGGCGCUGUCUCUGGAGGAGAUCCUGAGGCUCUACAACCAGCCCAUCAACGAGGAGCAGGCCUGGGCCGUGUGCUACCAGUGCUGCGGGUCCCUCCGGCGAGAGUCGACGCCGGGGCGCCGGGUGGAGAGCCCCUCCGACAUCCGCAUCGCCAGGGACGGCGCCGUCACCUUGGAUCCAGGAGCAGGCCCCGGAGGAGCAGGUAAAUCAGAAUAUUCCCAUUGUUCAGAGACAGAGGUAAUCGAAUCAUUGGGGAUUAUUAUUUAUAAAGCAUUGGAUUAUGGCUUGAAAGAGAAUGAAGAACGUGAGCUAAGUCCUCCUUUGGAGCAGCUUAUUGAUCAUAUGACUAAUGUGACAGAAGCAAAUGGAGGCAGAGAUGAAGGGUAUGAGGCUCUGGAUGAAGGAGAAGAUGAUGAGAACGAGAAAACUGUUCCAGUUAUACAGUCUUACCGAGAUGUCAUGAAGGUACAGUACAAGCCUGGUUAGCUGAUGCUGAUGCUGAUAUUGGAUGCAUUGUAAUUUAUUGCAUUAGAAACUGAUUUCUUUCAUAUAAUUUGGAACAAAAAUAUAUUUAAUA